rnacentral:rRNA from 1 species
UGGGGAAUUUUGCACAAUGGGGGAAACCCUGAUGCAGCGACGCCGCGUGAGCGAAGAAGGUUUUCGAAUCGUAAAGCUCUGUCCUAUGAGAAGAUAAUGACGGUAUCAUAGGAGGAAGCCCCGGCUAAAUACGUGCCAGCAGCCGCGGUAAUACGUAUGGGGCGAGCGUUGUCCGGAAUUAUUGGGCGUAAAGGGUACGUAGGCGGUUUUUUAAGUCAGGUGUCAAAGCGUGGAGCUUAACUCCAUUAAGCACUUGAAACUGAAAGACUUGAGUGAAGGAGAGGAAAGUGGAAUUCCUAGUGUAGCGGUGAAAUGCGUAGAUAUUAGGAGGAAUACCGGUGGCGAAGGCGACUUUCUGGACUUUUACUGACGCUCAGGUACGAAAGCGUGGGGAGCAAACAGG